GGAGCUCCCCGAACUUCCCAAAGCAGACCAGACAGCCUGAUUAACUGCAGCUACUUUACUUGCAUGGUGCCACCAUUUUGGAUUUAGCUUGUGUACGGUUGGUAAUCACGCUGCUAUGAUGAACAACAGGAUGGCAUGAUCCGUGAUGUCACUGAAUAGCAGAUCAAAUGCGGGAAGUUUCGCCUGUCUCCCACGAAGACGUCACUUCUGUUUCCGUCUCUCCGUCUCACAAGAAGUCGCAGCCCAUUGACCUCAUUUCCGGUUCUGGUCCCAAGAUCCCUCUUCUUUCUGCCGCUCAACUACAUAUCUGCCAUGUUUACUGACCUGUGCAGUUCUGUUUUGGACUCUUGUGUGUAAAGACCAUUUUCUGAACCUUUUUUCGCAUUUUACAGCAAAUUUCUCUAGUAUACGGGAGGCUGCCCCAAACCUCUUUGUGUGUCAAGGCUUGAGUAUUUA